AAAAAAAACGCCAUAUUAUACUAUGUCGAAAAAUGUCAUUUUUCAACAUGUGAAAACAUUCCAUAUGAUGAAAUAAUGUAAAGGAGGCUGUGAAAAACAUUAUGGUAAGGUUCUCUUUGAAAAAAAAGUCAUCAUGAAUUUUGGCGCAAAAAAAAACGUCAUAGUAUACUAUGUCGAAAAAAAACUUGCGAUUUUUCAACAUGUUGUAAAAACGUGCCAUAUGAUGAAAUAAUGUAAAGUAGGCCGUGGAAAACACUCCAGAAAGGUUUUCUUUGAAAAAAAAAUCAACAUGAAUUUUGGCGCAACAAAAACGCCAUAGUAUACUAUGUCGGAAAAAAAUUUCGAUUUUUCAACAUGUUGUAAAAACGUGCCAUAUGAUGAAAUAAUGUAAAGUAGGCUGUGAAAAACACUCCAGAAAGGUUUUCUUUGAAAAAAAAAUCAACAUGAAUUUUGGCGCAACAAAAACGCCAUAGUAUACUAUGUCGGAAAAAAAUUUCGAUUUUUCAACAUGUUGUAAAAACGUGCCAUAUGAUGAAAUAAUGUAAAGUAGGCUGUGAAAAACACUCCAGAAAGGUUUUCUUUGAAAAAAAAAUCAACAUGAAUUUUGGCGCAACAAAAACGCCAUAGUAUACUAUGUCGAAAAAAAAUUUUGAUUUUUCAACAUGUUGUAAAAACGUGCCAUAUGAUGAAAUAAUGUAAAGGAGGCAGUGACAAACACUCAAGAAAGGUUUUCUUUGACGAAAAAAUCAACAUGAAUUUUGGCCCAAAAAAAAACGCCAUAGUAUACUAUGUCGAAAAAAAACCUGCGAUUUUUCGACAUGUUGCAAAAACGUGCCAUAUGAUGAAAUAAUGUAAAGGAGGCUGUGAGAAACACUCCAGAAAGGUUUUCUUUGAAAAAAAAUCAACAUGAAUUUUGGCGCAAAAAAAAAAACGCCAUAGUAUACCAUGUCGAAAAAUGUCAUUUUUCAACACUAAAUCUUAUUGAAAAAUAUGUUUUACUUAAGUCCACCUGUUUCAGCCAUCUCUACCCCUCAUUAGGUACCACUCUAAGGUAAAUUAUUCAAAAAAAGUCCAGUAGAUGUCACUGUGUUUUGAAAUAGCAUGCAGAGCAAGUUUGUCUGCUCACAGGAAGUUAGCACAAGCAAAAUCACUCCUCACAUGAGGCCUCUGUUUGCUGUGCUUUUCAAAGGUAAAGUAAUACUUUUGACAUAUUAUGAUGCCUGAGGAGCUGAACACAAAUGUGUCAUUUGAAAUGUAAAAAAAAAAAAAAAAAAAAAGGGUAAAAUAAUUUUUCUCAACCGUUUGGUAGAGGUCAAUAUUUUAAAAAUUGCUGGGUCUCUUCAUAAAAAAAAAAUUGAUUGUUGUUAUUAGUGCCCCAAAGAGAUAAGAAAUAUAAAGAAAUAAUUUUUUCAUCGCCUUUUUCUUGGUGAGGAUGUUUAAGGGUUAACUUAACAUCUGUAAACAAAACAAAAACGUAUCAACAAAGUUUUCUGUUAGAGUUUGUGUUCUUAUAACUUUAACUCCAAGAUUUUAAAUACUUUCGUUUACUGCAAAUGAAUAUCUACUCCAAAUGUCUCACUAAUAAUCAUUAUCAGCCUUAAAAACCCACAAAACACCCCUCUAUACUCCACCACACUUAGUACAGUCCGGUUCCCCCUUCUAUAAAUCUGCUUGGAAUCUUCCACUUCCUGUUUGUCAAAGUGGCCUUCUACCUGGACAGGUUUUGUUGGAGCUCAUGCAACAAACAUUUUGGGUAACUGCACUUUAAUAUGGAUGGAUGAUACUGAAUUAGAGUCUGUUUUAAUGAGACUGAGUUAAGAUGUGUAGCUCUGUCAUUAAAUAGGAAAUUAUUUCUCAGAAUUCACAGAGAAAAGUCUGAAAUGUUUGCUCGGUUAGCAUCCCACAUGUUCUUUGGCUCAGCUAAAGCUAACCCUCUCCACCUUCUGGAUCUCUUGAGUUGCUUGUUGUUAAAAUAUCUUGCUAUAGGUGCUGAACCUCAAAGUCUGAGAUGUUUGUUCAAAAUAAGCUCAUUCUCAAAUCUUAUCUGAACUGUCCUCUUUUGUUUGAACUUUCCCUAAACUUAGCAGUUAAUGACAGAGCAGCACAUCCAGACUCAGUCUCAUUUAUGUAGAGAUUAAACUUCAGUGUCAUUCAUUGAUGUUAAAGUGCAGUUUUUCAAAUGUUUGUUGCACAUGCUCCCGACCAAAGCAGUCCAGGUGGAAGACGAUGUGAAGAGAAAGCUCCAGAGGAUGAAUAUCACACAUUUACGUUGGAAAUAAAUGUCCUUUAAUUAGACAUUGUCAUGCAAAAGUUGGAUUUCCCUUUAAUGAUGUUCAAAUCUUUGAGUGUUUUGUUGAUGUUGGUUUCUAAAUGUUUUGUGACACUCGGCCCCAAAGAUUAAAACCUUCUACGGCUCACAAGCUGCAACAAUUCACACAUUAUCAACUAUCUUUCUGACUAAAAUAAAAAGUGAAAAACUGCCUGA
ensembl:lncRNA